rnacentral:rRNA from 1 species
GACGAACGCUGGCGGCGCGCCUAACACAUGCAAGUCGAACGAGAGAUGAGGAGCUUGCUCUUCAAAUCGAGUGGCGAACGGGUGAGUAACGCGUGAGGAACCUGCCUCAAAGAGGGGGACAACAGUUGGAAACGACUGCUAAUACCGCAUAAGCCCACGGCUCGGCAUCGAGCAGAGGGAAAAGGAGCAAUCCGCUUUGAGAUGGCCUCGCGUCCGAUUAGCUAGUUGGUGAGGUAACGGCCCACCAAGGCGACGAUCGGUAGCCGGACUGAGAGGUUGAACGGCCACAUUGGGACUGAGACACGGCCCAGACUCCUACGGGAGGCAGCAGUGGGGAAUAUUGCACAAUGGGGGAAACCCUGAUGCAGCGACGCCGCGUGGAGGAAGAAGGUCUUCGGAUUGUAAACUCCUGUUGUUGAGGAAGAUAAUGACGGUACUCAACAAGGAAGUGACGGCUA